rnacentral:lncRNA from 1 species
AAAAUUCUGUCAUUCAGAAUCCAGCAGCAAGGUUAAUUGAAGGUGAUCCAAAAGCAGAACCUCCAAGAACUGCCCCGGAACAGCCUAGUCCUGUCUCUGUUCUAGAUGCCGCAUUUUACGGAGAUGAAUCACCGUCUCCUGUGAAGAAAACAUCAAAAGCUUUUGAAGGUAAAAUUCAUGUAUCCUUUAUGCAUUAAUUGUGCUCAACUGAAACUUCAAAUUAAAAUGGGUUCUAUAAUCAUUUCAUCAUGAAAACAAAUUAUAUUUUGAUCUUAAAUCAACCCAAAACACAAAAAUGUACAUUUAAACUAGGAGAGGGAGCAGGAAAGCUUACAAGUUCAUGCUCAGUAAGUUUUCAUUCAAAGCAUCUAAGCCUUUGACAUGCCUAAGCACCCUCUUAACUUAAAAGUGCAUCACACUUCCACAAUGCAUGAAUCUAGGGAUGAAACUAAUAGCAUAUAUAAUGUUAAGCCUUGUUGCUGUCAGAUACAACAGACAAUCAACCAAGCUUCUAUAAGUCUUGCACCAAAUUUGUUGAAAACAUCUUUGCCAAGUUUUCCACCUUGAGCAUUGGUUUGCUCACUCUCCAUAUAAUGCUUCUUUAGCACUUCUAUUGAGUACUUUUGCAGCCCAAUUAAAAUACCAAACUAAGAUUGAAGAAUUUCUAUCCAAAGAAAUAUGUCAUCUAAAACAUCUUCUUUAUUUCUUACACCAAGAUUAGGCUGCUCUAAUACAAGUAAAUCAUCCAAAUAUAAAAAAAGAAUCAACAUAUCCUCAUUUUUAGAUUUCUUACACCAAGCAUUUGUCAAUUCUAUCACGCUAGUCUUCUAAGCGCCUGCUUCAUCCCAUACAAGGGCUUCUUGGCUUGGUAAACCUUAUCUUCUUUGCCUUUCAAAGCAAAACUUUAGGUUUCUCCACAUGUGUUUCUUCUGUCAAGUAAGUUGUCCUCUAUAAAAUCUCCAUGGCCAAUUUUGAUUUUUGAAGUUUAGGUUCUAUUAAGAACCUCAAAUAUGUCUUCAUCAGAAACCAUGUUAUAUAUGCAACCACUGUUUAUCAAACUAAUGGAGUCUGUGGUUGUUGAUGCUUGCAUAACAUGUUGCAGCAGGCAUAUGCCCCUCUAGUAGCUGACCGUUUUCAGCAAUCUGAGUUUAUGCACCACAUUGUUGUUCGAUAUGCUCCAUUUGCUUGCAUGAUCUAAACUGAAUGUUAGCUCUUUACCAACAGUAAAUUUCCAAAAGAGUUGUUUUCUUAUAGUGUUGAGCAUGGUGGAUAAUUACUUUUUCCACCAUCUUUACUUCUUUCCCUGUCUUUCCUCUACUUCUCUCUUUUGCCACCAAAGUUUCAGCUCUUACACCUAAAUCAGUCUUUUCUUUGUUCUUGGUUUGAAAAGCACCCCCAGUAACUUCUUCUUGUUAGCUUAAUCUUCUCUGCUUGCUAAUGAAGAUAUCGUAAACAAGUCUUUUAAUCUUCAAAGGAUGAAACUUUAGACUCAUUUUUUAGGAAGUGAUAAUAACUUUCUUUAGAAUCCUCUUGGAUGAGAAUGCAUUUCCAAGCAACCUGAUGCUGUUGCCAAUAAUCAUGAUACUCUAUGAAUACUACAUAAUUGUUCACCAUCUUCCACCUUCAAUUUUUCAAAAUCUAUUACGAGAUUAACAACCUGCUGCACUCAAAGUAAUAGUCCCCUCAAGGAUCAAUGGGGAUGUUAUGCCAAAUCUGUAUUGCGCACUCCAAGUUUAGAAAGUCAAGAAAAUUCAUUAAGAAACUUUAGUAAAGUUUAUCCAUGACCAGCAUGAAAGCUUUAAAAACUAUAUAUCCACCAAAAGAACCAGUAAAUUAACUCAUACUUACUAGUAAUCACAUAAUACAUGUAGGAACCAUAAUGUAACAAUUUAAACAUUGCGUAAGGAUAGAAUCUAUAUGAAACAAGAAAUUUGAGGAAGGUACUAUUUGUUACAGAAGGCUUGUCCAGUUAAUUAUUGAGUUCACAAUUUUCUAUAACAGGUGAUGAGGGUCUUACCCCUAAUGAUGCAGACUGGAGUUCCAUAGGUCUAAAUCACUUGCCCACCUGCAGAGAAACCAGUCCAAGGUUCAAGACAGACAGCAGGAAAGCAGAAAACAUCCAGCACUUGGUCCAGAAAUUCAUGAAUUUAG